AACAUGCAGUGCUCUGUCAUGGCAAAAUAAAAGUAACAAACUUUUCAACUUGAAGUGCAUUUGUUCAAAAAAAAAACAAGUUCGGUCCCUGUCGGUCUGGUCCAGGUCUCGGUCUGGUCCAGGUCUCGGUCUGGUCCAGGUCUCAGUUUGGUCCAGGUCUCGGUCUGGUCCAGGUCUCGGUCCGGUCCAGGUCUCAGUUUGAUCCAGGUCUCAGUUUGGUCCAGGUCUCAGC